CGCUCUACCACACAAAGACGUCAGUAAGAAGCGAGAGAAAGCAAAACAGAAUGAAAAUCAUAUUCGAAAAGACAACGUCAUUGCCAGUUUUCUUGUCUCACACAAAAAGCGAGGGAAGGAGCCAAAGAUGUUGGUACCUGAGCCAUGAUGCCCAGAUACCUGGCUGUGUCUCAAGAUGUAAGCUCCCAGCUACUGCUCCAGCACAAUGCCUGCCUGCCUGCAGUCAUGCUCCCUGCCAUGGUCAUGGCCAGUAACCCUCUGUAUGAACCGGGCAAAUCGACUGGAUCCAACGGACGUCCCACAAAGACAGGCUACAACAAGCUGUGAUCCUCAGUCCUUAGUUUCUAAUACUGAUUUCUAGAUUUUAUGAAUCAAGAUUGGUCUUGCCUGUCUACUUCCUUCAUCCAUUCAUUAAA